AGAGAGAGAGAGAGAGAGAGAGAGACUUCCUUCACUCAGUCACUCGCUCGCUCUCUUUCUUUCAGUGUUGAUUGUGGUAGUAGUAGCGGAGGUGGUGGUUGUGGUACUUGUAAUAGUAAUAGUAAUAGUAGUGAAAUGGAAGUGUGCCUGCUGCUACUUCUUCUGCUUCCUACUGUCUUCUGUGAGAGUCAGACCUGCCUGAAGGAUGAAGGGAGCUUGUCCUGCAAUGAACGAAUGGAUGAAAUUGAGGAAUUAAGAGGAAUAGAACAAGGAAGAGGAGGAGGAGGAGGAGGAGGAAGAAGAAAGGAAGAAUGGAAAUAUGAAGAUGAUGAUGAUGAUGAUGAUGAUGAUGAUGAUGAUGAUGAUGAUGACGAUGACGAUGAUGAUAAUGACGAUGAAGGAGAGAUGAUAAAGAAAGAAGAAGAAGAAGGGAAUAGGAAGAAGCAAAAGAAGAGGGAGAAAGAAGAAAGAAAGAAAAUAAAGAAAGAUGAAAAUAAUAACAAAAAAGCUAAGAAUAUAAAGAAGGAAGAUAAAAAAAGAAAGGAAGGAAAAAAGAAAACGGAGAAGAAGAAGAAGGGAAGAAUAGAAGAAGAGGAAGAGGAAGUAAGAGGAGGAAGAAGAGUAGGAGGAAAAAUGAUAACAGGAGAGAAGAUAGAAGGAGUGAAGGAGGGAAGAGAAGAAGGAAGAAGAAGAGGAGGAGGAAGAAGAGACACGGAGAGAAAAGAUGGAGGAAACAAAACUGCGGAGGAAAAAACUGGAGAGAAAGUAGAACCGGCUGGAGAGACUGGAGAGAAAGUAGAACCAGCUGAAGGGAAAGUAGAACCGGCUGAAGGGAAAGUAGAACCGGCCGGAGAGACUGGAGAGAAAGUAGAACCGGCUGUAGGGAAAGUAGAACCAGCCGGGGAGACUGGAGAGGAAAUAGAACCGGCUGGAGAGACUGGAGAGAAAAUAAAGCCGGUUGGAGACACUGGAGAGAAAGUGGGACCGGCUGGAGAGAAAGUAGAACCGGUUGAAGAGACUGGAAAGAAAGUAGAACCGGCUGGAGAGAAUGGAGACAAAGUAGAGCCGGUUGGAGACACUGGAGAGAAAGUGGGACCGGCUGGAGACAAAGUAGAACCGGUUGGAGAGACUGGAGAGAAAGUAGAACCGGUUGGAGAGACUGAAGAGAAAGUAGAAUCGACUGGAGAGACUGGAGAGAAAGUAGAACCGGCCGGAGAGACUGGAGAGAAAGUAGAACCGGCUGGAAAGACUGGAGAGAAAGUAGAACCGGCUGUAGAGACUGGAGAGAAAGUAGAACCGGCUGGAGAGACUGGAGAGAAAGUAGAACCGGCUGGAGAGACUGGAGAGAAAGUAGAGCCGGUUGGAGACACUGGAGAGAAAGUAGAGCCGGUUGGAGAGACUGGAGAGAAAGUAGAACCGGCCGGAGAGACUGGAGAGAAAGUAGAACCGGCCGGAGAGACUGGAGAGAAAGUAGAACCGGCCGGAGAGACUGGAGAGAAAGUAGAACCGGCUGGAGACACUGGAGAGAAAGUAGAACCGGUCGGAGAGACUGGAGAGAAAGUAGAACCGAUUGGAGAGACUGGAGAGAAAGUAGAAUCGGCUGGAGAGAAAGUAGAACCGGUCGGAGAGACUGGAGAGAAAGUAGAACCGGUCGGAGAGACUGGAGAAGAAGUAGAACCGGCUGGAGAGACUGGAGAGAAAAUAGAACCGGCUGGAGAAAAAGUAGAACCGGGUGGAGAGACUGGAGAGAAAGUAGAACCGGUUGGAGAGACUGGAGAGAAAGUAGAACCGAUUGGAGAGACUGGAGAGAAAGUAGAACCGGUUGGAGAGACUGGAGAGAAAGUAGAACCGGUUGGAGAGAAAGUAGAACCGGUUGGAGAGACUGGAGAGAAAGUAGAACCGGGUGGAGAGACUGGAGAGAAAGUAGAACCGGUUGGAGAGACUGGAGAGAAAGUAGAACCGGUUGGAGAGACUGGAGAGAAAGUAGAGCCGGUUGGAGAGACUGGAGAGAAAAUAGAACCGGUUGGAGAGACUGGAGAGAAAGUAGAACCGGUUGGAGAGACUGGAGAGAAAGUAGAACCGGCCGGAGAGACUGGAGAGAAAAUAGAGCCGGUUGGAGACACUGGAGAGAAAGUAGAGCCGGUUGGAGAGACUGGAGAGAAAGUAGAACCGGAGAUAGAACCGAUGGAGGAAGAAGUAGGAGAGAAGAAAGAAGAGGAAGAAAAUCUAACAGAUGGACAAGAGAAGAAGGAAGAGAAGAGGAAGAGAAGGAAGAACUGGAAGUGACGACGCCAUGAUGGAACCAGUUUCCUCGAAGUGAAGAUGGAAGAAGACAAGAAGGAAGAGGAGAAGAAGGAAGAGGAGGAGAAGGAAGAGGAAGAUAGAAGCCGUGUUUGGAAGAAAUUCACUCAAAAGGAGUUGGAGCACCAGUAUUCCCCAUCACGGUGGUCGAGACGCCAUGUUGAGGAGGAGGGUCAUCUCCCGGCACGUGGAGGAGGCGAGGUGGAGGAGCGAGGAGGCGCGGAGGACAGUUCCUUGUCGUCUGGAUGAGCAGUACGCCCCCUGUAGGUCCCCGCGCCCUGGCUGACGUGUAUGGUGAAGAUCUGCC